ACAUGAGCCUCAGGCAGACCUCAGGUGCGGGGCCUGAGCUGGCCUCUCCUGCUGUUGCUACUGCUGCUGCUUGAGCUGCUGGCCUCAGGAGUGCAGGAAACAUGGGGUCACUGGGGAACUGAGAACAGCCACACUGGCAUAGUCGACACCUUUUGCUGGAGCAUCCAUAGCCUGUUAUGAAAAGGCAAUAUCUGCUGCUCAAAAGAUCUUGACCUGGCUCACCAAGAGGUUUGUGUUGGGAGUACAUAUGUUUCUACGGACAUUGUGGAGAGUCUAGUAAGAGCUUUUGGAUGUUCUUGGACUUGACAUCUCCAACCUGUCCCAGCAUUUCAACCCAGCCUCAGUGGCCAGCAGCCUAGCCUAGGCCCUUCUUUUGGUCAGUGCCAGCUGCUUGGCCUACUGAUUCUAGUUUCUGACCCCGGACAUAACCUUCAAAGCACUGCAUCUGGUGUUCAGCACUUCUUCUGGAUCGUGUGGACCAUCCUGUUCUCCAGGUCCUGCAAGCACAUUCUGCACAAGGAUAAGGGUGAGGAAUGAGGUGCUCCCUGUGCUUCACAGUAAAGUCCACCUUAUGACCUGGCCCAUGGGCUUUUACAGGCAUGGCAGCUCUACUGUAAAUAAGAAGCUGGAGCACCUGAGAACAAGGUCAGACUUUUCAACAUUUGCCUCAACAGGGGGCUAAAAAUUCUCCACUGCUCCAAAGAAGCGUAAAGGUUAGCCAACCCAUUCUAAAAGCUAAGCCUUGGAAUUCUGUUGAAAAUCACUCAGCCAUAAAAUAAAAGACACCUGAGAAGAUUCCUAAACUCACUCUGGGAAAGAGAAAGUAUAGACGGGGUUCAUCAUAUUAGCCAGGCUGCUCUCGAACUCCUCACCUCGUCAUCCACCCACCUCGACCUCCCAAAGUGCUGGGAUUAAAGGCGUGACCCACCGCGCCCGGCCGACUCUCCUGUUUCUAAUAGACCAAAAGAGGGACUAGAAAUGCCACGGACCAAAGCUCUUCCCAUUCAUGAAACUGCAUCACGAGUCAGGAUUCUCUCCUGACGACCCUCCUGUGGCCCCUGCACAAUUUGGGAGAGACGCCGCGCUGCGGCUGCAGAGGUGCCCACAGAGGGCUGCAAGCCGGGACACAGUCACUGCGCAGAGAAGAGACAGGACGCCCGGGGCCGCCUCCCAGAGCAGCCGCCAUCUUAUGGCUGAAGGGGAUUGAGGCCGAGCUGGGCAAGAACUCCGGCACGCGCAGAUUGUGGAGCUGACUGCGGGAAGGCCUGAGUCACGCCACAGCCCCUUCCCCCUCUCGGGAUGUCAGACCGGCACUCUCACCAUUUCUAGGCUUCCGGGGGGUCCUGGCGUCUUAGCUGUGGAUCCCCCAAUACCUGCAGGUCACAGAGCCACAGAGGCUGGACCUCUAGCAGCAGAGGACACAGAAGACUGAAGACGAGAAGCGGAGCUCCAACUGCAGCCAAAGGCCCCGCCACAUCCCGGAAGCCACCCUGUCCUCUCCUGCCCCGUGCCUGAUUGGAUGGUUUCCAGCCCAGCGUCCCUGAUUGGAUAACUUCUAAGGUCCUGCCCCCGCAAACCCUGAAUGAAAGAUGUGAUCAGACGCUGGGCUGAAAGAAUAAAGAAUGACAGCCUA